AUGAAUGAGCGUGUCCUGCUAGCACUGGGAUGUGUCAGGUCCAAGGACUUGGCAUGUGGUGGCAACGCAAUAGUGGUGAGGACAGCUAGGCAGGGAAAACAGAAAGAGGAUGCUGAAGGAGCCAUACCAGGACAAACCAUGACUAGAGGAUUCUCCCCUUCAGUAAAGGGACCUGUUUAUCACCGUGAAGGGUCUUUUGUUUUAGUUCUAAAAGCCAGAUUGCAGGCAAACACAAGCUUGAGCUGUUUUCAAGUUCUUGAUCUGUUUCUCAAAAAGCUAAGCAAGAAAACAAACUAACAAAUUCGAGAUCAAAAACAUUUUUAUUCAUUUAUCUUUCUCCCACAGAUAAGACUGCAGAAUUAAAUGUCAAGGGACCUUGUGACAUUUCUGGCAGUAGUUCUGUGUACAGCUUUUAACUAGUCAAUUUUAAUCCAACUUAGUAGGGAGUUCAGAAAAGGCUUUGGGCUAGUCCAUGGCUGGAAAGACAUUGCCAUGAACUCAGCCAAAUACACAUGGAUACAUAAAUAAGGGAAGAAGAAUUAAGAUUGGUUUUGGCCCAACGUUUUUAAUAAAUUAAAAAGAUGAAACCUAAGAUUUAAUUAAAAAUGUCCCUAUAUUAGGACUGAUGCUAUAAUUUUUAUGUUACUGCCCAGAACCUAUUAUGCAGUAUUUUCAAUAGGAGAAGGAGAGGUGUUAUAAUUUUAAUUUUUUUUACAUUUUUUUCUCUUUUUAUUAUUAUUAUUAUUAUUAUUAUUAUUAUUAUUAUUACUAUUAAUUCAAGUUAGGGAACAGGCUUGUUUCACAUGUAAUUCCCCUCUCCCUCUCCCUCCCCUCACCCCCAUUCCUUCUCCCCCAUAUAAAGUAAUUCCCCUCUCCCUCUCCCUCCCCUCACCCCCAUUCUUUCUCCCCCAUAUAAUUUUAAAUUUAAGGAAUAAGAGAGAAAACUUUUUUCUUAUAUCCUGAGUUCAAACAGUGGUGGCCUGUGUAUUUCAAUAGCACAUUUUUCUAAGACAAGACAACUUUAUAAUUUAAGUCCUGAUUCCUUGAUAUAACACACUUACUUAUAUAACGAAUGGAGUAUAUCCACCAUCCUGCUCAGGCAAAAAAAAAAAAAGCCUUGCCCCAAAGCUAAUGUUCUCAGCAACUUCAAGUGCUACAGUGAUGUUUCAUCCCAUUAGUAAUUUGAGCAUAAAUUUCUUGUAAUAAACUUGGAAUCGCCUGAUCUGGUCUCAUGAGUAUUGAGUCAUGUCAAGUCCCUUUGCCAAACACACAUAUCAUGUAGGGAGAAAAAUGCCACAGAAUGAAUCCUAAGAGUUACAGAGAAACAUCCAUACACGAUGUCUCCACUGCUCACAUUAGGAAUCAUCAUCUGACCUGGUCUUUGCUUUGAUACAGAAUGUUCCUCAAAGGACAUGUGCUGCAGAUUUUACCAGUGUGUGACUGUCAGGGGAGGUGACUGAAUAUUUAAGCUACAGAGCCUAACAAGAAGAAAUUAGGUUACUGGGCAUCCCCUUGAAGGAGAGAAUGGGACACCGCCCCUUUCUCUCUCUGAUUCUGGACUCCCGGGAAGUGAACAGUUUCCCUUGGCCAUGCACUUCCUGCCAUGAUGAACGCCCAUGCCCUAGCCCUACAGUAGCCUGGUCCAUUCUAAACAUAUCUUCAACCAAGCCCUUCGAAUGCUUUCUCACUCGGAUGGCUCCAUAACCCAGAGGACUUCAUCAGCCUUCAUACUCGUACUCUUCCCAUCCUGCCCCCAUCUCGUCCCUGUCCUGCUCUCCUCCUCUUCAUGUGUGGUGACGGGGAUGGAAUAGUCACCAUGUGCUGCAAUAGAGCUACACUGCCAACCUCAGGCAUCUCCCCUGUAUUCUUCUCUCCUGCCUUCCUACAGCACUGCAUUUAGAGUAGUCGUCAGUAGAGCCUUCACUGGCACUUUACUUUGCUUUUUAUAAAUUUCAUUUUGCCAAGGAGGCUGCAUAUUUCAUCUGGGACGAUUUUUGAACCCAUGUGGGGAACUCAGUAGACACAGACCAGUCACCAACAGGCCAGCAUUAGAAGUGGUAGAAAAGCAAAGCUGAGCCAGGCGGCGAUGAUGCACAUUUUUUAUUGCAGCACUCAAUUAGGAUGCAGAGGCAGGCAGAUUUCUAAGUUUGAAGCCAGGCUGGUCUCCAGGUCGAGUUACGGGGCUGCACAAAGAAACUCUGUCUCGAAGAGAAAAAAAAAAAAAAAAAAAAAAAAAAAAAAAAAAACAGAAAAGAAAAGCUGAGGCCAGCUGUGGUGGCACAGAGUGGUAACUCUCUGUCACUUGGGAAGCUGGGGUAGAAGGAUCAUGAGUUCAAGAGCAACCUGGGCUACACAGUUGAAUCAAGGUCACACUAAGGUACAAAGUGAGACCCUGUCUCUAAAAGAAGAAAAGAAAGACAAUAAGUAAGAGCAGUAGAGUAAUAGAUACAAUUGAUACAGGGAAAGACUAACCCCACUGUAGACAGAGUAACUGGAAUACUGAUUUUCUUCUUCAACAGAAAUGAUGAAGCAUGCCGGAGAAAGAAACAAACAUAGUUGUCGCUAAUUCCUUUUGGGCAGUGGUUUCCCGGAAAGCUUCUGAGAUUGAGACUCGAGCUAUAAACCACACAUCAGUUGAAGGACAAGUGUCUGACACCAGACAAAACAUGACAUUAUUCAGAGCUAACUUUGAAGCAAUGGGCUGAGUCUUGAUGGGAAGGUGUGGGAAAGGGCUUUGCCAGGGAAAACAGAACAAACAGAGCAAACUCACAAAGCUCAGAAAUUCCAGAUGCAUGUGGACAGCAGGGAACAUGAGAUGUCGAUCAAAUGCCUUGACUAUCUGCCCAUGGUUGAGUGGCUUUUGCAAUAAAACAUAUAGCAUUGUCAUACCAAAUGGUACAAAAGGCCAAACACAUGAAAUUAAUUAGUUUCAAGAGCCAAGGUGGGUAUGGCUGAUCUGACUGGAACAACACCACUGUAAUCUGAGAAGGUGUCAGUAGCAAUGACACAGACCAAUAGCUCUAAGGAGGAACCACAGUGUAGAAACAAUCAAUCUUCCAGGAGCAGGAGGGAAACACUCCCCAUGCAGCAUGGUGUUGCUCACCAGAAGGGAACCAGGACUCCCAAGUCUGGUACCAAAUGGCAACUGCUGCAUCAGAAACACAAAAUCUACUUUGUG
rnacentral:lncRNA from 1 species